UACGGAGGGUGCGAGCGUUGUCCGGAAUCACUGGGCGUAAAGGGCGCGUAGGCGGCUGGGGAAGUCGGCGGUGAAAGCCCGGAGCUCAACUCCGGGUCGGCCGUCGAGACUCCUCGGCUCGAGCUCACUAGAGGCAGAUGGAAUUCCGGGUGUAGCGGUGGAAUGCGUAGAGAUCCGGAAGAACACCGGUGGCGAAGGCGGCCUGCUGGGCAGUUGCUGACACUGAGGCGCGACAGCGUGGGGAGCAAACAGG
rnacentral:rRNA from 1 species